GAUGAACGCUGGCGGCGUGCCUAAUACAUGCAAGUCGAGCGAACAGACGAGGAGCUUGCUCCUCUGACGUUAGCGGCGGACGGGUGAGUAACACGUGGAUAACCUACCUAUAAGACUGGGAUAAAUUCGGGAAACCGGAGCUAAUACCGGAUAAUAUAUUGAACCGCAUGGUUCAAUAGUGAAAGACGGUUUUGCUGUCGCUUAUAGAUGGAUCCGCGCCGCAUUAGCUAGUUGGUAAGGUAACGGCUUACCAAGGCAACGAUGCGUAGCCGACCUGAGAGGGUGAUCGGCCACACUGGAACUGAGACACGGUCCAGACUCCUACGGGAGGCAGCAGUAGGGAAUCUUCCGCAAUGGGCGAAAGCCUGACGGAGCAACGCCGCGUGAGUGAUGAAGGUCUUCGGAUCGUAAAACUCUGUUAUUAGGGAAGAACAAAUGUGUAAGUAACUAUGCACGUCUUGACGGUACCUAAUCAGAAAGCCACGGCUAACUACGUG
rnacentral:rRNA from 1 species